UACGAAGGGGGCGAGCGUUGUUCGGAAUUACUGGGCGUAAAGGGCGCGCAGGCGGCUCAGACAGUCAGAUGUGAAAGCCCCGGGCUUAACCUGGGAACUGCAUUUGAUACUACUGAGCUUGAGUACGGGAGAGGAUAGUGGAAUUCCCAGUGUAGAGGUGAAAUUCGUAGAUAUUGGGAAGAACACCGGUGGCGAAGGCGGCUAUCUGGACCGUAACUGACGCUGAGGCGCGAAAGCGUGGGGAGCAAACGGG
rnacentral:rRNA from 1 species